rnacentral:rRNA from 1 species
UACGAAGGGGACUAGCGUUGUUCGGAAUCACUGGGCGUAAAGCGCACGUAGGCGGAUGUGUCAGUCAGGGUGAAAUCCCGGGGCUCAACCUCGGAACUGCCUUUGAUACAGCACGUAUCGAGUCCGGAAGAGGCGGUGGAAUUCCUAGUGUAGCGGUGGAAUGCGCAGAUAUCAGGAGGAACACCAAUAGCGAAGGCAGCUCGCUGGACGGUACUGACGCUGAGGCGCGAAAGCGUGGGAGCGAACAGG